UACAGAGGGGGCAAGCGUUAUUCGGAAUUAUUGGGCGUAAAGGGCGCGUAGGCGGCUUGGCAAGUGGAAGGUGAAAUCCCUCGGCUUAACCGAGGAACUGCCUUCCAGACUGCUUUGCUUGAGGCCGGGAGAGGCGAGUGGAAUUCCCAGUGUAGCGGUGAAAUGCGUAGAUAGUUGGGAGGAACACCAGUGGCGAAGGCGGCUCGCUGGACCGGUUCUGACGCUGAGACGCGAAAGCGUGGGGAGCGAACAGG
rnacentral:rRNA from 1 species